UUCUGAUCCCAUUUUUAAUUUUACUUAAUUUAAACUUAGUGUUUGUCAAACUUUGUAUUUCUUAUUUUCUAUACUGUAACUGUAAUCUAUAUCAAUUUUCAGGGCGUCCAACUAGUACCUCACCACAUCGAACUAUUCUACUUCUUCUGCUGUGUCCUACUACUACUACAACUACUGCAUCUCAUGAGACUGGUGGUGACUCUCGGUUAACAAUCAUUGCUGUAGUCGUCUGUGUAGCUCUGCUUGCACUUCUGCUUUUUCUGGUUCUCCUCUACAAACGACGUGAACAUACAAAAACACCAGGAAU